UACGUAGGGUGCGAGCGUUAAUCGGAAUUACUGGGCGUAAAGCGUGCGCAGGCGGUCUGUUAAGACCGAUGUGAAAUCCCCGGGCUUAACCUGGGAACUGCAUUGGUGACUGGCAGGCUUUGAGUGUGGCAGAGGGAGGUAGAAUUCCACGUGUAGCAGUGAAAUGCGUAGAGAUGUGGAGGAAUACCGAUGGCGAAGGCAGCCUCCUGGGCCAACACUGACGCUCAUGCACGAAAGUGUGGGGAGCAAACAGG
rnacentral:rRNA from 1 species